rnacentral:lncRNA from 1 species
UGGGGUGUAGAUUGGCCUGAGCAAAUGUGGUGCCGGUGGACAGAAAGCCUUCGGAGGAGUUAGCGAAAUUCCAAUGUGUGCGGAUCGGCAAAAAAUGCGGAAUAACCCUUUAACCGUACAUUUGACAGAUACGCACGCAUUGACUUUUUCGUAGAUCUUAUUGAGUUACAUGUGUGUGUCAAUUUUUGUGUCAUUUUGACAAAGCGUAUAGGCGUGACACUCAACAAUGUGUAUUUUCACCUUAGGGGACAAGAAAAAAUGGACUUUUUUCUCCUGCCAUGGGGGGGCGCUCUUUUGGGGAGUAAAAAUUCCUUCACAAAUGUGUUGAUGGCUGGACAUUGCAUCAUCCUAGAAAACUUGGAGGCCAGUGAGGGCAAAAAUAAAAAGUUAUAAGACUUUUAAAUAUGUGGAUCUUAGGGUUAUCUUUGGCGCCCCCUAGAACCUAAACCAUGGGGUGCAGCUUCAUGAUUUGAAUAACUUUUAAUGGCCAUGGGGUGUAGAUUGGCCUGAGCAAAUGUGGUGCCGGUGGAACGAAAGCCUUCGGAGGAGUUAGCGAAAUUCCAAUGUGUGCGGAUCGGCAAAAAAUGCGAAAUAACCCUUUAACCGUACAUUUGACAGAUACGCCCGCACUGACUUUUUUGUAGAUCUUAUUGAGAUACAUGUGUGUGUCAAUUUUUGUGUCAUUUUGACAAAGCGUACCGGCGUGACAGUGAAUAGUGUGAAUUUUCACCUUAGGGGGCGCUAUGGAGCCAUUUUGCAUUUUCUUGUUUGGGCGACUUCGGAAUAUCAAAUUUUUCACCAGGCCCGGUCGUCCUGCCAAAUUUCAUGAGUUUUCGCCAGUGGGAAGUGGGCCAUUUUCCAGUUCAAAGGGGAGGAAAAAUAAUAACUAGGGCCCCGUUGGGGCACUGGCGGGCCCGAGCCGUGUCACGCCGCCCCCAGCGCGACCGCCUCCCCCACCCGAUCGCGUCACACUCAAGGUCCAAAGAUGGUGUGCGCACUUGUUUGUGGUCAUUUACCAUUAUAAUGAACGGGAGGCGCAGUUUCUACCAAAACGCUCGCUGCAGACAAACUCCAUGUCCUAUUUGAAAAAAGUCUGGACCAUGAGUGAGGGCACAAACACAGCUAAGAUAUAUCCAAAUGGCAAGUUGCUCCUCCUUUCGCUUUUGCCGAGAGAGCAGUGCGUUUGAGCCAUUGAAUGAUGAACAGGAAAAACUUGACUUUAUUCUCCUGCCAUGGGGGGGCGCUCUUUUAACAAGAAAAAACUCCUUCACAAAUGUGUUGAUGGCUGGACAUUGCAUCAUCCUAGAAAACAUGGAGGCCAGUGAGGACAAAAAUAAAAAGUUAUAAGACUUUUAAAUAUGUGGAUUUUAGGGUUAUCUUUGGCGCCCCCUAGAACCUAAACUGUGGGGUGCAGCGUCAUGAUUUGAAUAACUUUUAAUGGCCAUGGGGUGUAGAUUGGCCUGAGCAAAUGUGGUGCCGGUGGAACGAAAGCCUUCGGAGGAGUUAGCGAAAUUCCAAUGUGUGCGAAUCUGCAAAAAAUGCGAAAUAACCCUUUAACCGUACAUUUUACAGAUACGUGGCCAUUGACUUUUUCGAAGAUCUUAUUUAAAGACACGUGUAUGUAAAAUUUUGUGUCAAUACGACAAAACAUACAGGUGUAGCACUCAACAAUGUGUAUUUUCACCUUAGUGGACAAGAAAAAAUGGACUUUUUUCUCCUGCCAUGGGGGGGCGCUCUUUUGGGGAGUGAAAAUUCCUUCACAAAUGUGUUGAUGGCUGGACAUUGCAUCAUCCUAGAAAACUUGGAGGCCAGUGAGGACAAAAAUAAAAAGUUAUAAGACUUUUAAAUAUGUGGAUUUUAGGGUUAUCUUUGGCGCCCCCUAGAACCUAAACCGUGGGGUGCAGCGUCAUGAUUUGAAUAACUUUUAAUGGCCAUGGGGUGUAGAUUGGCCUGAGCAAAUGUGGUGCCGGUGGAACAAAAGCCUUCGGAGGAGUUAGCGAAAUUCCAAUGUGUACGGAUCGCCAAAAAAUGCGAAAUAGCCCUUUAACCGUACAUUUGACAGAUACGCCCGCACUGACUUUUUUGUAGAUCUUAUUGAGAUACAUAUGUGUGUCAAAUUUUGUGUCAUUUUGACAAAGCGUACAGGCGUGACAGUCAAUAGUGUGAAUUUUCACCUUAGGGGGCGCUAUGGAGCCAUUUUGCAUUUUCUUGUUUGGGCGACUUCGGAAUAUCAAAUUUUUCACCAGGCCCGGUCGUCCUGCCAAAUUUCCUGAGUUUUCGCCAGUGGGAAGUGGGCCAUUUUCCAGUUCAAAGGGGAGGAAAAAGAAGAAAGAAAGAAACAAAGAAAAACCCCUACAGGAAUAACAGGGCCUACGCCCGGCUGCUCUGCAGCUGGCUCGGGCCCUAAUAACAAAAGAAGGAAACUACAGGAACAAGAGGGCUCUCGCAGCUGCUUAGCAGCUACGCUCGGGCCCUAAAGAAACAAAGAAAAACCACUUGGGGAAUAAUAGGGCUCUCGCAGCUGCUUAGCAGCUACGCUCGGGCCCUAAAAAGAAACAAAGAAAAACCACUACAGGAAUAACAGGGCCUACGCCCGGCUGCUCUGCAGCUGGCUCGGGCCCUAAAGAAGAAGAAAGAAGAAUCCAUCAGGAAUAAUAGGGCUCUCGCAGCUGCUUAGCAGCUACGCUCGGGCCCUAAAGACUAGGGCCCCGUUGGGGCACUGGCGGGCCCGAGCCGUGUCGCGCUGCCCCCCCCCAACGCGCUGCCUCCCCGUCCCAUUCGCGUCCUCUGGCCAUCGUCCUCUCUGGUAACGCCCAUCACUGCAAAGACCCUUUCCUUCAUCGGCGUUUGCUGUUCUUCCUGCCAGUGCGUGUUGCUUUCACUUACACUUGCCACAGCCAGCCUCAUGAGUGCCUAGCCUAUUGGAUAUCACUGUCAUCUACACAGGACAGUCAUAACCUUUCUAUUAAUACUUUGUUUUUUAAUUUCACAUUAAUUUCCAUACUGUAUAAAUGACUGGAAAAAACUUGAGCCCCUGCCCCUGUAUAAUCAUGUGCACGUCCCUGUUCUAGCUCCAAGGUGAAUCUUCACUGCUCAUGUUCUCCUCAGAAAUAGUCACCUCACUCCCCUCAGGUUACUGUACACAUGCACCAACUAUCUGCUUCAGGUUUGGAUGGAGCUUCAUGGUUGUCUUUUGGAGAAAUGAACAGUCAAGUUGUGUUUGAAAUUUGAUUUUUUUCAGGGGCAAAAGGAAGCCUCUGCAUUCUUGUCAAAUAUGUAAACAGCAUGUUUUUGCAGGUGCUAAAAAACAGACUCUGAGUGUGUGUGUGUGUGUGUGUGUGUUGGCGUGUGUGUUGGCGUGUGUGUAUCCUGCAGUACUCUGUACUCCUGCAGUGGCCAAAAAGACUUUUAAGAAUGUGGAUUUUUGGGUCAUCUUUGGCGCCCCCUAGAACUGCAGUACUCUGUACUCCUGCAGUGGCCAAAAUGACUUUUAAGAAUGUGGAUUUUUGGGUCAUCUUUGGCGCCCCCUAGAACGUAAACCGUGGGGUGCAGCGUCAUGAUUUUUACAACUUUUAAUGGGCAUGGGGUGUAGAUUGCCCUGAGCAAAUUUGGUAUCAGUGGGACGAAAGCCUUAGGAGGAGAUAGCCACAUUCCAAUGUGUGCGAAUCGGCAAAAAAUGCGAAAUAGCCCUUUAACCGUACAUUAUACAGAUACGCGCCCUUUGACUUUUUCGUAGAUCUAAUUGAGAUACACAUGAUUGUCAAUUUUUGUGUCAAUAUGACAAAGCGUUCAGGCGUGACACUCAACAAUGUGUAUUUUCAUGUAAGGGGACAAGAAAAAAUUGACUUUUUUCUCCUGCCAUGGGGGGGCGCUCUUUUGGGGAGUAAAAAUUCCUUCACAAAUGUGUUGAUGGCUGGACAUUGCAUCAUCCUAGAAAACUUGGAGGGCAGUGAGGACAAAAAUAAAAAGUUAUAAGACUUUUAAGAAUGUGGAUUUUUGGGUUAUCUUUGGCGCCCCCUAGAACCUAAACCGUGGGGUGCAGCGUCAUGAUUUGUACAACUUUUAAUGGCCAUGGGGUGUGACCUGGCCUGAGCAAAUUUGGUGCCAGUGGAACGAAAGCCUUCGGAGGACUUAGCCACAUUCCAAUGUGUGCGGAUCGGCAAAAAAUGCGGAAUAACCCUUUAACCGUACAUUUGACAGAUACGCGCGCAUUGACUUUUUCGUAGAUCUUAUUGAGUUACAUGUGUGUGUCAAUUUUUGUGUCAUUUUGACAAAGCGUAUAGGCAUGACACUCAACAAUGUGUAUUUUCACCUUAGGGGACAAGAAAAAAUGGACUUUUUUCUCCUGCCAUGGGGGGGCGCUCUUUUGGGGAGUAAAAAUUCCUUCACAAAUGUGUUGAUGGCUGGACAUUGCAUCAUCCUAGAAAACUUGGAGGCCAGUGAGGACAAAAAUAAAAAGUUAUAAGACUUUUAAAUAUGUGGAUUUUAGGGUUAUCUUUGGCGCCCCCUAGAACCUAAACCGUGGGGUGCAGCGUCAUGAUUUGAAUAACUUUUAAUGGCCAUGGGGUGUAGAUUGGCCUGAGCAAAUGUGGUGCCGGUGGAACGAAAGCCUUAGGAGGAGUUAGCCACAUUCCAAUGUGUGCGGAUCGGCAAAAAAUGCGGAAUAACCCUUUAACCGUACAUUUGACAGAUACGCGCGCAUUGACUUUUUCGUAGAUCUUAUUGAGUUACAUGUGUGUGUCAAUUUUUGUGUCAUUUUGACAAAGCGUACAGGCGUGACACUCAACAAUGUGUAUUUUCACCUUAGGGGACAAGAAAAAAUGGACUUUUUUCGCCUGCCAUCGGGGGGCGCUCUUUUGGGGAGUAAAAAUUCCUUCACAAAUGUUUUGAUGGCUGGACAUUGCAUCAUCCUAGAAAACUUGGAGGCCAGUGAGGACAAAAAUAAAAAGUUAUAAGACUUUUAAAUAUGUGGAUUUUAGGGUUAUCUUUGGCGCCCCCUAGAACCUUAACAGUGGGGUGCAGCGUCAUGAUUUGAAUAACUUUUAAUGGCCAUGGGGUGUAGAUUGGCCUGAGCAAAUGUGGUGCCGGUGGAACGAAAGCCUUAGGAGGAGUUAGCCACAUUCCAAUGUGUGCGAAUCGGCAAAAAAUGCAAAAUAGCCCUUUAACCGUACAUUUUACAGAUACGCGCGCAUUGACUUUUUCGUAGAUCUUAUUGAGAUACAUGUGAUUGUCAAAUUUUGUGUCAAUAUGACAAAGCGUACAGGUAUGACAGUCAACAAUGUGUAUUUUCACCUUAGGGUACAAGAAAAAAUGGACUUUUUUCUCCUGCCAUGGGGGGGGCGCUCUUUUGGGGAGUAAAAAUUCCUUCACAAAUGUGUUGAUGGCUGGACAUUGCAUCAUCCUAGAAAACUUGGAGGCCAGUGAGGACAAAAAUAAAAAGUUAUAAGACUUUUAAAUAUGUGGAUUUUAGGGUUAUCUUUGGCGCCCCCUAGAACCUAAACCGUGGGGUGCAGCGUCAUGAUUUGAAUAACUUUUAAUGGCCAUGGGGUGUAGAUUGGCCUGAGCAAAUGUGGUGCCGGUGGAACGAAAGCCUUAGGAGGAGUUAGCCACAUUCCAAUGUGUGCGGAUCGGCAAAAAAUGCGGAAUAACCCUUUAACCAUACAUUUGACAGAUACGCGCGCAUUGACUUUUUCGUAGAUCUUAUUGAGUUACAUGUGUGUGUCAAUUUUUGUGUCAUUUUGACAAAGCGUAUAGGCGUGACACUCAACAAUGUGUAUUUUCACCUUAGGGGACAAGAAAAAAUGGACUUUUUUCGCCUGCCAUCGGGGGGCGCUCUUUUGGGGAGUAAAAAUUCCUUCACAAAUGUGUUGAUGGCUGGACAUUGCAUCAUCCUAGAAAACUUGGAGGCCAGUGAGGACAAAAAUAAAAAGUUAUAAGACUUUUAAAUAUGUGGAUUUUAGGGUUAUCUUUGGCGCCCCCUAGAACCUUAACCGUGGGGUGCAGCGUCAUGAUUUAAAUAACUUUUAAUGGCCAUGGGGUGUAGAUUGACCUGAGCAAAUGUGGUGCCGGUGGAACGAAAGCCUUAGGAGGAGUUAGCCACAUUCCAAUGUGUGCGGAUCGGCAAAAAAUGCAAAAUAGCCCUUUAACCGUACAUUUUACAGAUACGCGCGCAUUGACUUUUUCGUAGAUCUUAUUGAGAUACAUGUGAUUGUCAAAUUUUGUGUCAUUUUGACAAAGCGUACAGGCGUCAGCUGAAUUUUUCACCUUAGGGGGCGCUAUGGAGCCAUUUUGCAUUGUAUUGUUUGGGCGACUUCAGAAUAUCAAAUUUUUCACCAGGCCCGGUCGUCCUGCCAAAUUUCAUGAGUUUUCGCCAGUGGGAAGUGGGCCAUUUUCCAGUUCAAAGGGGAGGAAAAAGAAACUAGGGCCCCGGUGGGGCACUGGCGGGCCCGAGCCGUGUCGCGCCGCCCCCAGUGCGACCGCCUACCCCUCCCGAUCGCGUCACACUCAAGGUCCAAAGAUGGUGUGCGCACUUGUCUGUGGUCAUUUACCAUUAUAAUGAAUGGGAGGCGCAGUUUCUACCAAAACGCUCGCUGCAGACAAACUCCAUGUCCUUUUUGAAAAAAGUCUGGACCAUGAGUGAGGGCACAAACACAGCUAGUAUAUAUCCAAAUGGCAAGUUGCUCCUCCUUUCGGUUUUGCCGAGAGAGCAAUGCGUUUGAGCCAUUGAGCGAUGGGCAGGAAAAACUUGACUUUUUCUCCUGCCAUGGGGGGGCGCUCUUUUGGGGAGUAAAAAUUCCUUCACAAAUGUGUUGAUGGCUGGACAUUGCAUCAUCCUAGAAAACUUGGAGGCCAGUGAGGACAAAAAUAAAAAGUUAUAAGACUUUUAAGACUGUGGAUUUUUGGGUUAUCUUUGGCGCCCCCUAGAACCUAAACCGUGGGGUGCAGCGUCAUGAUUUGUACAACUUUGAAUGGCCAUGGGUUGUAGAUUGGCCUGAGCAACUAUGGUGUCAGUGGGACGAAAGCCUUCGGAGGAGUUAGCGAAAUUCCAAUGUGUGCGAAUCGGCAAAAAAUGCAAAAUAGCCCUUUUACCGUACAUUAUGCAGAUACGCGCUCUCUGACUUUUUCGUAGAUCUAAUUGAGAUACACAUGAUUGUUAAUUUUUGUGUCAAUAUGACAAAGAGUUCAGGCGUGACACUCAACAAUGUGUAUUUUCACCUUAGGGGACAAGAAAAAAUUGACUUUUUUCUCCUGCCAUGGGGGGGCGCUCUUUUGGGGAGUAAAAAUUCCUUCACAAAUGUGUUGAUGGCUGGACAUUGCAUCAUCCUAGAAAACUUGGAGGCCAGUGAGGACAAAAAUAAAAAGUUAUAAGACUUUUAAAUAUUUGGAUUUUAAGGGUUAUCUUUGGCGCCCCCUAGAGCCUAAACCGUGGGGUGCAGCGUCAUGAUUUUUACAACUUUUAAUGGCCAUGGGGUGUAGAUUGGCCUGAGCAAAUUUGGUGCCGGUGGAACGAAAGCCUUCGGAGGAGUUAGCGAAAUUCCAAUGUGUGCGGAUCGGCAAAAAAUGCAAAAUAGCCCUUUUACCGUACAUUAUACAGAUACGCGCUCUUUGACUUUUUCGUAGAUCUAAUUGAGAUACACAUGAUUGUCAAUUUUUGUGUCAAUAUGACAAAGAGUUCAGGCGUGACACUCAACAAUGUGUAUUUUCACCUUAUGGGACAAGAAAAAAUGGACUUUUUUCUCCUGCCAUGGGGGGGCGCUCUUUUGGGGAGUAAAAAUUCCUUCACAAAUGUGUUGAUGGCUGGACAUUGCAUCAUCCUAGAAAACUUGGAGGCCAGUGAGGACAAAAAUAAAAAGUUAUAAGACUUUUAAGAAUGUGGAUUUUUGGGUUAUCUUUGGCGCCCCCUAGAACAUAAACCGUGGGGUGCAGCGUCAUGAUUUGUACAACUUUGAAUGGCCAUGGGGUGUAGAUUGGCCUGAGCAAAUUUGGUGCCGGUGGAACGAAAGCCUUUGGAGGAGUUAGCAAAAUUCCAAUGUGUGCGGAUCGGCAAAAAAUGCGAAAUAGCCCUUUAACCGUACAUUUGACAGAUACGCCCGCACUGACUUUUUUGUAGAUCUUAUUGAGAUACACAUGUGUGUCAAAUUUUGUGUCAUUUUGACAAAGCGUACAGGCGUCAGGUGAGUUUUCACCAUAGGGGGCGCUAUGGAGCCAUUUUUCAUUUUUUUGUUUGGGCGACUUCAGAAUAUCAAAUUUUUCACCAGGCCCGGUCGUCCUGCCAAAUUUCCUGAGUUUUCGCCAGUGGGAAGUGGGCCAUUUUCCAGUUUAAAGCGGAGGAAAAAUAACGAAAGAAGAAUCCAUCAGGAACAAGAGGGCUCUCGCAGCUGCUUAGCAGCUACGCUCGGGCCCUAAAAACUAGGGCCCCGUUGGGGCACUGGCGGGCCCGAGCCGCGUUGCGCCGCCCCCAGUGCGACCGCCUCCCCCUCCCGAUCGCGUCACACUCAAGGUCCAAAGAUGGUGUGCGCACUUGUCUGUGGUCAUUUCCCAUUAUAAUGAAUGGGAGGCGCAGUUUCUACCAAAACACUCGCUGCAGACAAACUACAUGUCCUAUUUGAAAAAAGUCUGGACCAUGAGUGAGGGCACAAACACAGCUAGGAUAUAUCCAAACGGCAAGUUGCUCCUCGUUACGGUGUUGCCGGGAGAGCGAUGCGAUUGAGCCAUUGAGUGAUGGGCAGGAAAAACUUGACUGUUUCUCCUGCCAUGGGGGAUGGGGGGGGGGGGGGGAGGGAUGUGGAUUCUUUUAAGAAUGUGGAUAUUUGGGUCAUCUUUGGCGCCCCCUAGAACGUAAACCGUGGGGUGCAGCGUCAUGAUUUUUAAAACUUUGAAUGGCCAUGGGGUGUAGAUUGGCCUGAGCAAAUUUGGUGUCAGUGGGAAGAAAGCCUUAGGAGGAGUUAGCCACAUUCCAAUGUGUGCUAAUCGGCAAAAAAUGCAAAAUAGCCCUUUAACCGUACAUUUUACAGAUACGCGCGCAUUGACUUUUUCGUAGAUCUUAUUGAGAUACAUGUGUGUGUCAAAUUUUGUGUCAAUAUGACAAAGCAUACAGGUAUGACAGUCAACAAUGUGUAUUUUCACCUUAUGGGACAAGAAAAAAUGGACUUUUUUCUCCUGCCAUGGGGGGGCGCUCUUUUGGGGAGUAAAAAUUCCUUCACAAAUGUGUUGAUGGCUGGACAUUGCAUCAUCCUAGAAAACUUGGAGGCCAGAGAGGACAAAAAUAAAAAGUUAUAAGACUUUGAAAUAUGUGGAUUUUAGGGUUAUCUUUGGCGCCCCCUAGGACCUAAACCGUGGGGUGCAGCGUCAUGAUUUGAAUAACUUUUAAUGGCCAUGGGGUGUAGAUUGGCCUGAGCAAAUGUGGUGCCGGUGGAACGAAAGCCUUCGGAGGAGUUAGCAAAAUUCCAAUGUGUGCGGAUCGGCAAAAAAUGCGCAAUAACCCUUUAACCGGACAUUUGACAGAUACGCCAGCACUGACUUUUUUGUAGAUCUUAUUGAGAUACAUGUGUGUGUCAAUUUUUGUGUAAUUUUGACAAAGCGUACAGGCGUGACAGUCAAUAGUGUGAAUUUUCACCUUAUGGGACAAGAAAAAAUGGACUUUUUUCUCCUGCCAUGGGGGGGCGCUCUUUUGGGGAGUAAAAAUUCCUUCACAAAUGUGUUGAUGGCUGGACACUGCAUCAUCCUAGAAAACUUGGAGGCCAGUGAGGGCAAAAAUAAAAAGUUAUAAGACUUUUAAAUAUGUGGAUUUUAGGGUUAUCUUUGGCGCCCCCUAGAACCUAAACCGUGGGGUGCAGCGUCAUGAUUUGAAUAACUUUUAAUGGCCAUGGGGUGUAGAUUGGCCUGAGCAAAUGUGGUGCCGGUGGAACGAAAGCCUUCGGAGGAGUUAGCGAAAUUCCAAUGUGUGCGGAUCGGCAAAAAAUGCGCAAUAACCCUUUAACCGUACAUUUGACAGAUACGCCCGCACUGACUUUUUUGUAGAUCUUAUUGAGAUACAUGUGUGUGUCAAUUUUUGUGUCAUUUUGACAAAGCGUACAGGCGU